UACGUAGGGUGCAAGCGUUAAUCGGAAUUACUGGGCGUAAAGCGUGCGCAGGCGGUUUUGUAAGUCUGACGUGAAAGCCCCGGGCUCAACCUGGGAAUUGCGUUGGAGACUGCAAGGCUUGAAUCUGGCAGAGGGGGGUAGAAUUCCACGUGUAGCAGUGAAAUGCGUAGAGAUGUGGAGGAACACCGAUGGCGAAGGCAGCCCCCUGGGUCAAGAUUGACGCUCAUGCACGAAAGCGUGGGGAGCGAACAGG
rnacentral:rRNA from 1 species